UACAGAGGUCUCAAGCGUUGUUCGGAUUCAUUGGGCGUAAAGGGUGUGUAGGUGGCGCCGUAAGUCGGGUGUGAAAUUUCGGAGCUUAACUCCGAAACUGCAUUCGAUACUGCGGUGCUUGAGGACUGGAGAGGAGACUGGAAUUCAUGGUGUAGCAGUGAAAUGCGUAGAGAUCAUGAGGAAGACCAGUGGCGAAGGCGGCAUCCUGGACCGGUAUUGACGCUGAGGCGCGAAAGCUAGGGGAGCAAACGGG
rnacentral:rRNA from 1 species